CACUUUAGAGGUGUUCCCUCUAUUGGCAGACCCAAAAACGUAUGAGCCUAACACUAUUGAUCUUGCGGAUCCCAGUGAGUUAGAGUAUUGGUUUACUGUCCUGUCAGAGCAUUUGCCCGACCUUGUUGAUAAGGUAAAAAUAGAUAUCAUCAUGAAACCCCCAAAAUCUCUCUCAAACACACAAAUACACAAUCUGGCCAUGCAACAAGUGACAAAAAAGUGAAAUAUUUGUGAAGUUCUGGUAACACUGCAAUUAAUGAACACCAAGUUUUUUCCUUAAUCUGCUGUUUAUUAUGUGCUAGGGGCCGUAUGAUGUGUUAUGCCGGCAUCUGGCCCGCCAAAUUUCCUGAAAGAAAUAAAUUAGAGAAAGUUAUUCUUAAUCUAUUGUGCUAUGUGCACCCUUGUUUUGUUUGGUUAUAGUAAUGCUGUGCUACCACGUGUAUAUUGUUGGGAGUAGCUUGUGUGCUUUAUUAAUUUUUCAUUAAUUGUUUGGUAUAAGAAGUGGGAAGCUUAAGAGCCAAUAUAUGUAUAAAAAUAUAUUAAGGGUUUGUUUUAUUGUCUCAUUAUGAUUGUGAGAUUUUAAUGAGCAAUA